GAUGAAGAACGCAGCGAAAUGCGAUACGUAAUGUGAAUUGCAGAAUUCAGUGAAUCAUCGAGUCUUUGAACGCACAUUGCGCCCCCUGGUAUUCCGGGGGGCAUGCCUGUCCGAGCGUCAUUGCUGCCUUCAAGCACGGCUUGUGUGUUGGGCCUCCGUCCUCCUCCCGGGGGACGGGCCCGAAAGGCAGCGGCGGCACCGCGUCCGGUCCUCGAGCGUAUGGGGCUUCGUCACCCGCUCUUGUAGGCCCGGCCGGCGCUUGCCGACACAUCAAUCUUUUUUCCAGGUUGACCUCGGAUCAGGUAGGGAUACCCGCUGAACUUAAGCAUAUCAAUAAGCGGAGGA
rnacentral:misc_RNA from 1 species